CCUACGGGAGGCAGCAGUGAGGAAUAUUGGUCAAUGGCCGGAAGGCUGAACCAGCCAAGUCGCGUGAGGGACGACUGCCCUAUGGGUUGUAAACUUCUUUUAUAAGGGAAGAAUAAAUGCUACGUGUAGCAUGAUGCCUGUACCUUAUGUAUAAGCAUCGGCUAACUCCGUGCCAGCAGCCGCGGUAAUACGGAGGAUCCGAGCGUUAUCCGGAUUUAUUGGGUUUAAAGGGUGCGUAGGCGGUUUUUUAAGUUUAGUGUUAAAGGUUGGGGCUUAACCCUUGAUUUGCAUUUGAUACUGGAAGACUUGAGUACAGACGAGGUAGGCGGAAUAAGUUGAGUAGCGGUGAAAUGCUUAGAUAUAACGAAGAACUCCGAUAGCGAAGGCAGCUUACCAGACUGCAACUGACGCUGAGGCACGAGAGCGUGGGUAGCGAACAGGAUUAGAUACCCGUGUAGUC
rnacentral:rRNA from 1 species